UGUUAGCCUGUGACAUCUAUUGACGACAU
rnacentral:piRNA from 1 species